rnacentral:rRNA from 1 species
GACGAACGCUGGCGGCGUGCUUAACACAUGCAAGUCGAGCGGUAAGGCCCUUUCGGGGUACGACGAGCGGCGAACGGGUGAGUAACACGUGGGUGACCUGCCCUCAGCUCUGGGAUAAGCCUGGGAAACGUGGGUCUAAUACUGGAUAUGACUCCACGGUGCAUGUCGGUGGGGUGGAAAGCCUUGUGCGGCUGAGGAUGGGCCCGCGGCCUAUCAGCUUGUUGGUGGGGUGANGGCCUACCAAGGCGACGACGGGUAGCCGGCCUGAGAGGGCGACCGGCCACACGUGGGACGUGGGACACGGCCCAGACUCCUACGGGAGGCAGCGAGUGGGGAAUCUUGCGCAAUGGGCGAAAGCCUGACGCAGCGACG